CAGUGCUGCCUACCACAACCUUC
rnacentral:piRNA from 1 species